rnacentral:rRNA from 1 species
GUCUUUUUGAAAUAAUUUAAAGUCUAAUCUGCCCACUGAUAAAAUUAAAGGGCUGCAGUAUAAUGACUGUACAAAGGUAGCAUAAUCAUUAGUUUUUUAAUUGGAAACUUGUAUGAAAGAUUUGAUGAAAUAUAAGCUGUCUCUAAUUUAUUAAUUGAAUUUUAUUUUUUAGUAAAAAAGCUAAAAUAAAUUUAAAAGACGAGAAGACCCUAUAGAGUUUUAUAUUUUAUUUUAUUUAAAAAUUAUAUAAAAAUUAAUAUUUAAAUAAAAUUAAUUAUUUUAUUGGGGUGAUAGAAAAAUUAAAUGAACUUUUUUUAAAAAUUAAACAUAAAUAAAUGAUUAAAUGAUCCAUGAAUAAUGAUUAUAAGAAAAAAUUACCUUAGGGAUAACAGCGUAAUAUUUUUUUUUAGUUCAAAUAAAAAAAAAAGUUUGCGACCUCGAUGUUGGAUUAAGAUAAAAUUUAAAUGCAAAAGUUUAAAAUUUUGAUCUGUUCGAUCAUUAAAAUCUUACA